UACGGAGGAUGCGAGCGUUAUCCGGAUUUAUUGGGUUUAAAGGGUGCGUAGGCGGAAAGUUAAGUCAGCGGUGAAACGCAGGUGCUCAACACCUGACCUGCCGUUGAGACUGGUUUUCUGGAAUGCGGAUGCUGUGGGAGGAAUGUGUGGUGUAGCGGUGAAAUGCAUAGAUAUCACACAGAACACCGAUUGCGAAGGCAUCUCACAAAUCCGCUAUUGACGCUGAGGCACGAAGGUGCGGGGAU
rnacentral:rRNA from 1 species